rnacentral:rRNA from 1 species
CCUACGGGCGGCAGCAGUGAGGAAUAUUGGUCAAUGGGCGCGAGCCUGAACCAGCCAAGUAGCGUGAAGGAGGAAGGCGCUACGGGUGGUAAACUUCUUUUAUAAAGGAAUAAAGUGAGGCACGUGUGCGUUUUUGUGUGUACUUUGUGAAAAAGGAUCGGCUAACUCCGUGCCAGCAGCCGCGGUAAUACGGAGGAGCCGAGCGUUAUCCGGAUUUAUUGGGUUUAAAGGGAGCGUAGGUGGGACGUUAAGUCCGUGGUGAAAGUGUGCGGCUCAACCCUCGACUGGCCAUGGAUACUGGCAGCCUUGAGUGCCGUUGAGGUAGGCGGAAUUCGUGGUGUAGCGGUGAAAUGCUUAGAUAUCACGCAGAACUCCGAUUGCGACGGCAGCUUAC